AUCAGUGGGAUCACUGGGAUCACUGGGAUGGAUGGGAUCAUUGGUGGGAUGGGUGGGAUCAUCAGUGGGGUCAUGGGAUCAGUGGGAUUGCAGGGAUGGAUGGGAUGAUCAGUGAGGUCAUGGGAUCAGUGUGAUCGCUGGUGUGGAUGGGAUAAUCACUGGGAUCCAUGGGGUCAAUGGGAUCUUUGGGAUGGAUGGGAUCAUCAGUGGGGUCAUGAGAUCAGUGGGAUUGCUGGGAUGGGUGGGAUCAUUGGUGGGGUCAUGGGAUCGAUGGGUGACAUGAGUGGGAUCAAUGGUGGGAUCUAUGGGAUGGAUGGGAUGAUUGGUGGGGUCAUGGGAUCGAUGGGUGACAUGGGUGGGGUCACCAAUGGGAUCAUCGGUGACAUCAGUGGGAUCAAUAGGAUCACUGGAAUGGAUGGGAGCAUCAGUGGGAUGGGUGGAAUCAUCAGUGGGGUCAUGGGAUCAAUGGUUGACAUGGGUGAGGUCACUGGUGGCAUCAGUGGGAUCAGUGGGAUUUCUGGGAUGGAUGGGAUCAUUGUUGGGAUGGAUGGGAUCAUUGUUGGGGUCAUGGGGUCGAUGGGUGACAUGGGUGGGGUCAUGGAUGGGAUCAUCAGUGGCAUCAGUGGGAUCAAUAGCAUCGCUGGGAUGGAUGGGACCAUCAGUGAGGUCAUGGGAUCAGUGGGAUCGCUGGUGUGGAUGGGAUAAUCACUGGGAUCCAUGGGGUCAGUGGGAUCUUUGGGAUGGAUGGGAUCAUUGUUGGGGUCAUGAGAUCAGUGGGAUUACUGGAAUGGGUGGGAUCAUUGGUGGGAUCGGCGUAGUGGAUGGGAUCAGUGGGAUCAUCAGCGGGAUGUAUGGGAACACUGAGACUGGGAUAGCUGGGAUGGAUGGGAUCAGCAGCGGCGUCAUGGGAUCGAUGGUGACAUCACCAGUGGGAUCAUGGGUGGCAUCAGGGGGAUCGUUGGGAUGGGUGGGAUCACUGAGGGAUGGAUGGGAUGGGUCGGAUCGCUGCUGGCAUCAGUGGGAUCGGGGGGACCAAUGGCAUUGCUGGGAUCGCAUGGAUGGAUGGGAUCGUCGGUGGGUUAUGGGAUCAAUGGGUGACAUGGGUGGGACCAUGGAUGGGAUCAAUGGGAUGGUUGGGAUCAAUGGUGGGAUCAAUGGGAUGGAUGGGAUCGUCGGUGGGGUUAUGGGAUCAAUGGGUGACAUGGGUGGGGUCACUGGUGGGAUCAUGGGUGGCAUCAGUGAGAUCAGUGGGGUCGCUGGGAUGGAUGGGAUCAUCACUGGGAUUGUUGGGGUUGGUGGGACGGAUGGGAUCAUCACUGGGAUUGGUGGGAUGGAUGGGAUGGAUGGGAUCAUCACUGGGAUGGAUGGGAUCAUCACUGGGAUUGGUGGGACGGAUGGGAUCAUACUGGGAUGGAUGGGAUCAU
ensembl:lncRNA